CUCCUUUUUGAGUUGCUCAAGAGUUUGUGACCAAUUUCCAUAUUUUGGAAAAGUUUGGAUGUGUUUGUGUAAUAGAGGAAAAGCAGAUUCAACAUGCUGGAAGAGCAACUCAAGUGGGGGAAGGGCAAAAGGGUGGAGAAUUCCAGAGAAGGAACAGAAGAGCUGAGAAGAUCCAAGCAGUUACUUCACUUCUCUUUGGGAACUCCUUAAGAGAGGUUGGUCUGAGAGAACCUCUGAGCUCAAUCAUCCUUCUGUGAAUCCAGAUCCCCUGAAACCAGUGGAAAAUAACAGGAGUGGAUAGGACUUUAUCAUAAAGCCAUCCACUCAAGGAAGAUUUCCUUUCUAUACCUCUAAAAAGGAGUUUUUAAAAUACUGAAUGAUGCCUAUGUCAAGUUCAUCAUCUAUGGGUACAUCCCUGGAAAGUAUAUUGCCAAGUUGCCAAGAGCCAAACAAUGACGAUAAGGUAAAGGACCCUCAUGGUGAUACUCAGUGUAACCUCAGUGGACCUGGACAGAAGAGAUGCAAUGCACGGGUGGACCAGAGGCUCCUUCAGCCACUGUCCAGCUCUUCUCAAUGCAGGCUCUCUGCCUAGACACACCCAUCGCUCAUGUGCUCUCAGCUGUUGUCUAACCAUUAAGAGAGCUUCUGUUGUCUGGAAUUCUGAGACUCAGAGGUGCUUCUUCGAUAAGUCACAAAUGAGAAUGAGUCAUGGAAGCUGGGAUUUUGUUCUGGUUCUGCUGUUUACCACCCACAGGUAUAACUAUAAUUCUCCCGCCUCUUUUGAGGAUGAAAAUGUGAGGGAGAAAAGUUGGGCACUAGGAAGAAGACAUUUGCAAAAGAACUGUGCAAUGCAAACUUUCAAGUGAUUGACAGAGAGUCACAUGGGAGCCUAAGGGUCAAGAUCUGGGUAAAGGUUCUAGGGUUCCAACCGAAACUUCACUUCACUCCUGAAGGACCUUGGAUUGGAGGUUUUACAUCAGGUUUCUGGCUUUUGUGAUACCAGCUGAAGAGAGAGGAAUCCCGCUUGGACUGGCUGCUGGCAGCUAGAACAGAGGACUAAAGACUCACUUCUCCACUGGACCUGAUUUGGACAGUUUUCAUCUGAAGAUCCUGGCCCACUGACUGGACUCCUUUUGUGAGAUUUUGUGUUGGGGAAACUUAAUGUUUUUAUCUUAGAUAAGUUAGGGUAAGAUAGGCUUAUAGAAAUUAGGGUUUAAUUGUAAUAAUUUUCCUUACCCUUUUUCCUUUCCCUUUCCCAAAAAUAAACCCGAUUUUUAUAUGUUUCUUUCUUGUUCU
rnacentral:lncRNA from 1 species